AGCCUCGGGCAGUGCGGAGCCACAAACGGGACUGUCCGUCCGCAAGGCACAGCGCCAGGGCAAAGCACAGCUCAGGCGCAGCCUGACCAGGAAGGGAACGCUCCCGUGCACUGCUAGGUGUUUUGAUUGCCAGUCCUGCGCUGAGCUGGCAGGCCACAAAGCCUCCUCAAGCACCGCUGCCUCCUCUCCAGGCUUCCUGCACUUCCUUUGCUGACAGGGUCCCAGCAGCCCGGCUGCAGGCAGGCUCAGCUGAUGUUACAAAGCGCUGCUGUCCAAAAGAAAAAAAGACAAAAGGCAAACCAGAAAGGAGCUAUUUGUUGCCAGGCUGAAUUCCUCACAGGCGGAGGCAGGAUUCCUCUUGUUCCCAGAAAGGUGCAGAAAAUGCGCCCCGUACAUUCAUGUCUAUGACCAGGCUAUUGCAGGUCAGCGUGACUCACAAUCGUUACCCAGGUGUCUUCAGCUGGUUGGGAUUUUCCCCUGAGAGCAGCCUGAGAAUGCUGCUUGCCGUCACAGGCCUUUGAUCCUUCCAGGAAACUCCACAGACCCAUUUAGCUUCCUCCUUUCUAGGACAUGGCCCGGGUUAACUGCCAAGAGGAUGAGCAGUGCCUUGGAUGAACUGCUGCUCUUGACCUGCGGCCUUCUCCUGUUACCCAUGAGGCUGGCACCUGAGGCAUUUGUGAGGAGGUCUAGAACAAAAUGACACAGGAGAAAUCCACAGAACCUGCGCUUGGGAUCGUUUGCCCCGUUUGGUGCUUGCAAGUGUCCGCAGCAGACGUGGAGUUGGCAGUUCAGUCAGCUAUGCGGCCCAGAAAGGAAAAGGCUCCGUUAGCUGAGGGAAACCAAUUUACUCAGCACCUGCAGGCCAGAAAUGAGGGUGCAGCAAAUGACUGAAAAACACAGUAUAUGAUACAGCACAUAUCCUCAAUGGGCAUGCCAGAGAUUUCAAACCCACAUCCAUGCAGGAAUGUGACCUUGCAGCUAUCGCACAAGCCAAAGGGAGUGGCUUUUUGCAAAGACACCAGGAGCUCAGUGUGGGACACAGAACUUUUUCAAGAGGUGGACUGACCUGGGAGCUGGUGGAAGCGGAGAGAAGGGGCAAAUGCGCCCAUGGGUGCACCCACACUCUGAGGGCUGCUCCAAGGGCACCCCCUGCCAUGCACAGGACAUGGGCACUGCCCCGUGCAGAGGACAUGUCCCUGCCAUAUUGACAACACCAACACUGCUCCAGUGUCAUGCAAACACACAUGGGUGGUUUGUUAGUUGCCAUGUUUUCCCCACUACAAAAUCAUUCUUCCUUCUGUGAAUCCUGCAAUGUGCUGGUUGAUGUUAACCCUGCAGGAAAUGGGCAGGAGUGACAGGCAUUGCAAUUCAGGGAACUAGUUUUAGUCAGAAGCAUUGGUGGCCAAAGUACAGGGUGUGUGAACUUGGUGCCCGUUCUGCGUUACUCUUGGAUCCUUUCAGCUACGGGUUAUGCACUGCAAGCGGGUUUUGCGCUGUUUUGGGACAGCGUGCGCCCUUUCAAAGGAGUCCUUUUUGUCGCCUGAUGUUGUAAAGUCUGUGGACAAAUGCAGGCAUCCUUUUUUAUCGCCCCUGCGACUGUAGGGUUUGCAGACUGGAGCAGCACUGAUGAAAUGAUGGAGUGAAUCUGUAGAGCAGUUGGCAGGCCUUUCUUGCUGGUGUCAUCCCACAAAGUUUUUUAUGGUCCCAUGGGUAAGUAGAAGUAUUUUUGCUGGGGCAGCAGAUUGAAACAAAAAUGGCAUAAAGAUGCCAUAUGUUUGGUAAAGCUCCUGCCAAGAGCCUGAGCAAAAAAUGGGGUGUCUCUUGCCCAGCAGGGUGUGUGCGGGUAUCCUUCUUUUUCCCUGUGGCUGUAGACUCUGCAGACACAUGGAGGUGUCACUUUUUCUUCCUUUCUCUUGUACAGUCUGUGGAUUUGUGCAGGUGUUUCUUUUUUCCUUCCCUCUUUUGCUGUACACUCUCCAAAAUUGUGCAAGCAUCCUUAUUUUUCCAUUGUAGUUGCAUGGUCUGGGGCUUGUGCAAGGGUGCAUUUUUGUCCUCGUUUCACUGCAUGCACUGGGCAUUCUUGCAAGUGGUGCUUUUUCCCUUUUUGUUUCAUGGUGUGUGGACUGGAGCAGCAUAGCUCAAAUGAUGAAGUGAGUCCAUAGAGGAGUGGGCAGCACUUUUCCCGGCCCGAGCUCUGCUGUUAAACAGAGCGGCCGCCUGACCCGAGCCGCCGGUGCCCCGUUCAGAUGGGGAUGCCCGGCCUGGGUCCCUUGCGGGCCGUAGGGGGGAGGUCGGGGACCGUUCCCGGCCCUGGUCCAACACGGACAGCUGCGUCUCGGCUGCAGGGAAAGCGCAGGAGGCCCUGCAAGAGCGAUUCCGCUGGGAUCGCUGCUGCUGCGCGGUGGCUUCGGCACCGUCUACUCAGGGACGUGCCCCACAGAUGGCGCCCCAGUGGGUGGAGGGGCUGAGAUGGGGCGGUGGAGGGGGAGUGCGGAGGAA